rnacentral:rRNA from 1 species
UACAGAGGUCUCAAGCGUUGUUCGGAUUCACUGGGCGUAAAGGGCGCGUAGGCGGCGGCUUGAGUCCCUGCGUGAAAUCUCCCGGCUCAACCGGGAGGGUGCGCGGGAUACUGGGCGGCUUGAGGACAUCAGAGGAGAGCGGAAUCCCCGGUGUAGUGGUGAAAUGCGUAGAUAUCGGGGGGAACACCAGUGGCGAAGGCGGCUCUCUGGGGUGCACCUGACGCUGAUGCGCGAAAGCGUGGGGAGCGAAAGGG